rnacentral:rRNA from 1 species
ACGGGUGAGUAACACGUAUGCAAUCCACCUGUAACAGGGGGAUAACCCGGAGAAAUCCGGACUAAUACCCCAUAAUAUGGGCGCUCCGCAUGGAGAGCCCAUUAAAGAGAGCAAUUCUGGUUACAGACGAGCAUGCGCUCCAUUAGCCAGUUGGCGGGGUAACGGCCCACCAAAGCGACGAUGGAUAGGGGUUCUGAGAGGAAGGUCCCCCACAUUGGAACUGAGACACGGUCCAA